AUUGAACGCUGGCGGCAGGCCUAACACAUGCAAGUCGAACGAGUGGCGCACGGGUGUGUUAUGUCUGGGAAUCUGCCUGAUGGAGGGGGAUCACUUCUGGAAACGGUAGCUAAUACCGCAUACCAUCGGAUGUGCCCAGAUGGGAUUAGCUAGGAGGUGGGGUAAAGGCUCACCUAGGCGACGAUCCCUAGCUGGUCUGAGAGGAGGACCAGCCACACUGGAACUGAGACACGGUCCAGACUCCUACGGGAGGCAGCAGUGGGGAAUAUUGCACAAUGGGCGCAAGCCUGAUGCAGCCAUGCCGCGUGUAUGAAGAAGGCCUUCGGGUUGUAAAGUACUUUCAGCGGGGAGGCGUUACCAGCAGAAGAAGCACCGGCUAACUCCGUGCCAGCAGCCGCGGUAAUAC
rnacentral:rRNA from 1 species